CUUAGACAAGUAGAAACUCGUCCUGAUGAAAUGCAUUCUGGGAUACCUGGCAGUACAAAGUACACACUAGAUACCUCCUGAUCCGUCCUGGUUAAAGCAGCCGGGACAAGAACACAUCCAGGUCAGACUGGUUUCAAAGUCACUCUGAUGAGUUUUUACAACUAAUGAGGGACAACGAGCAGCUUCUUCUCAACACAUGAAUCUGGAAAGUGUCUGGAAGUCGACCUGAGGAAGACCAAAGACUCUCCUGUAUCCAGCUGUGUCCAUGGAGACUGAGCGGUCUAAGGCUCCACCUGUUGACUCCAAACAUGGACAGAAGUCUGCUGAUCCAGGAGACUGACCACAGUGGGUGACACUGGAGACCACAUGACACAGCCAUGUUUGAUGUGGAGAAAGCCUCAUUGUAUCUGAAGGAUGUGGUAGUUAGACGGAGGUCAAGCAGGACACAUAUCUGAUGAGAGGUGGACUUGGUUCCAUUCUUAAAAGUCAUGUCUUCUUUCUGGAAAGAAUCCCUGGAGUAGACUACAUACUGGCAACUAAUCUCCUCAUCCAAAACCUGGUCCUCAGCAGACACUAUGAACAGUAUCUAGAGCUGGAAAAUACUCCUUCAUGUUUCCUGAAGCUUGUCCUAUUAUUUGAAUUUAACAUUAAACAUUGUAUUUACAUGUUAUAUCCU